rnacentral:lncRNA from 1 species
UAAAACAAACAUACCCGCAUAUCUCCAACAUUUAAAAAUUAGAUGAGGGACCAGAAAACAAACUGGACGAGUUUUUCAGUGCUGCUUUAAUGUGCUCAAGGAGAAGAUGCUGCUUAACAAGUAGUCUGCCAAAUCCUGUAUCAGCUGCAGUUUCCAGACAGAAGUAAAAUGCAGUCCCACGUAGAGCACAUUACGGUAUCUAACCUGGCAGUCACAAUAGGUGAUUGAUGCAAGAUUCUCUCCCAGCAGAAAAAGUAUUUGACACAAGAGGUUACUUAGCAACAUUUAGACAUAGGGCUAAAAUGACAAUAGGAUAGAGGUUUAAUAAGGGACUACAAGAGGACCAAAUUUCAAGACUGACCACAAUAAUGGGAGGAAGUGCAAAUGGCAUCUUUCCACAUGACCAAGACUCCCACAGGAAAGGGGAAGGAUAGCCCAAAUCUCUUUGGACUCCAGUUGAAUUUGGUCAGCAGUUGCUGUGAUGGGGACCUGUGCACACCCUACAGCCCAGAUACGGUCUAUAGAAAGGUCCCCAAAGAGAAGAGGCCGCUGCGCCGCCCGCGGAGCGCUGAGGUCGGCUGGUGGGCCAGCUCCCUGCAACAGCGCCCUCGCUGCCGCGACGUGGCUGAGCUGCCGGACAAGCCUGGAGUGAAAAGGCCAUGGCUGAUAGGGCUUCAUCUUCUCACCUCGCCUGGAACAUUUUAAGCUCUUGAGUGGGUUUGUCUCAAAAAGUAUCUGCAAGCCAGGGUGCAAUAAAUAAAUAAAUAUCCAUACA